rfam:Streptomyces sp. NRRL F-6602 F6602contig465.1, whole genome shotgun sequence.
CGUGCGCACGCGCCGAAUCCCGUAGGGAACCGGGGAACCACUCCUUGGGGUGAAUCGGACGCCUUUCGAGGCGCCCGUAGGAGACCUUCCUGCUCCGAACCCGUCAGCUAACCCGGUAGGCGAGAAGGAAGGAAAGG